CUGAGCUGUGCUGGGUAAGCGUGGCUGUUUCUUUGUCAGCUUUUAUCGUAGCAAUUAAUGCAAGCUGGUCUGAUCUGUUAAGCCUCCCUUGCUGCUCCUCCAACUCCUGGACCAAUUUGUUCGGUUGUUUGCUGCCGGGAAGCUGCGCUCCAUAAGUGACCUUGUGGAUCUGUUUGUCUGGCCGUGUAGUAAUUUACAGCCUCCUGCUGAAUCCCUGACGACUAUUCUAUUUGGAUGUACACUCGCUGCUGUUUUGCCUACGAUGAAUUGUUUUAAAAGAUUUGUAUGAACUUUCCCCCGCUGCCGGGAGUAUCGAUGGCACUACGACCGGGAUAAAAAGCAAUAUUUUAGUGCUAUUAUAUCACUGUUUUACUCGUAUUGUUUCAUUUUUUGUCUUUCUUUUAGGGACUGAGGCUUCUGUGGUGGCGGUGGUGACCCCUGGUGGCGGUGUCUUGUCUUGUGUGUUUUGUGGAACACCCCUUUUUUUGUGUGUGUGUGUUUGCCGUGUCUUUGUAGUGUCCAGGGUGAUCCCUUUUCUUCACUGAAUGUUGCCCCUUUCCUCACUACUCUCCCCCCACUGGCGGUGGGACCCUUGUGGAGUUACUGGGAUCAUGAAGAAAAAAGUUAUGUUGGCAUUUGAAAGAAUAGUUUAAUGAAAUCCACAGCAAGACUCCUUCAGACAGCUGCUGUCUGUCAGCGAGACAAUAACCCAGUUGGUCACAGAUUUUGGUGGAAGAUGGAGAUUGGGGUCAUGAAGUGGCACUCACUGAGUCAAGUAAAUACUAUGUACCAGCAGAUCCAAAAUAUUGAAUUAUGUAAUAAAUUGUCCAAAAAGUAAAUAACAGAUUCCUGAGUUGAGGACGUUGGGUUACACUUUGAAUUUUCCUAAAGUUUCUAUGUUGUUUUUAACUGUAAUAAAUGAAGACAUGCAAUUUCUGAUGUGUGAUAUUAUGCAGUAUUAUUGGUGGUUGGAUUUGUUUAGUUUUAGAAACUUUUGAAAGACUAGAUCAUUUUUAAGCAUCUCCAAAAGUGGCAGAGGUCACACAUUCUGUUAAUCUGUUUUUCCUUAAUGAGCUGCAUUGGUUGGUAGUUAUAGACGUAUCCAUCUAGACAGUAUGGAGCAAAUUCCUGCAGGCAACAAGCAUGAAUUGUCAUACAAUCACAUAGCAGACAGUGAUAACUGGCUCUUACGUUUGCUGAUAAUUUAUAGACGGGUUUUAUGUGUUUAUUAGUUUUUUUGCAAUAUACUUACUUUU